rnacentral:rRNA from 1 species
UACGUAGGGCGCAAGCGUUGUCCGGAAUUAUUGGGCGUAAAGAGCUCGUAGGCGGCUUGUCACGUCGGGUGUGAAAGCCCGGGGCUUAACCCCGGGUCUGCAUUCGAUACGGGCAGGCUAGAGUGUGGUAGGGGAGAUCGGAAUUCCUGGUGUAGCGGUGAAAUGCGUAGAUAUCAGGAGGAACACCGGCGGCGAAGGCGGCCCUCUGGAUCGUUGCUGACGCUGAGACGCGAAAGCGUGGGGAGCAAACAGG